UGUUCAUCUGCAUUAGCAUAAUGAGUCAUUCCUCUUUUUUUUUUUUAAAUAAAGACAAAAGUGUAGCAGGUGCGGGUCCCCAGGUCUAGAGGUAUGGAAGACCUCCUUUGAAUUGGUUUACGGCAGAUUUUGGUGAACUUUGGACUUCCCUGGAAUUUUCAUGAGGCUAAAAUCAUAACUGAAGUCCUUGGUGCAUCCCGCCUCUGGGGCAUUGCGCCUUUCUCCUCCUUUCUCUGGAAUGAUUCGGGAAUCCUGUCCAAAGGUGUCAAGGUCAUAAGUGCCUAUCAACGUCAGACUGACUGUGUGCUCUCUUUUGAGCUAAGCAGGGAGAUUGGAAACUUGGAUCUUUUAUGUAAACCAUCCGCUUCAAAUAAAACUUAUCUCCAGGCCAAAUAUGCCUUUCAGCCACAGAACUUUUCCCCAAACCAGUAUUAUACUGGGAAAUGCAUUUUUUAAAUGUUCUGGGAAAUGCAUUUUGUAUCUUUUUUUGUGUGUGUGUGUGUACACAAUACCUCUAUUUUAUUUAUUUAUUUUUAUGUGGUGCUGAAGAUCGAACCCAGAGCCUUUCACAGGCUAGGGGAGCGCUCUACAGCUGAGCCAUAGCCCCGGGAAAUGCAUGUUUUAAACGUCUCUCCUCUCUCAACCUUCUGACUUGCUGUCUCAUCCUCACAGAUGAUACAGAAGUCACCAAGUUUGCCUUGACUUCUGCUACCAAAAAAAUCACCCACACUGGCGCCAUCCUGCCUUCUUUGCCAUCUGCUCAGCAAAGCUUCCUAGAAGGAGCCCUGUUCCUCCUGCCCCAGGGCCUUUGCAUGUGCUUUUACUCUGCUCCACCCCACUCCUUCCCAGUCUCAGGUCCUCAGGGCUGCCUCAAACUUCUCCUUAACUGUGUACCUCUCCUUCACAGGUGUCAUUCUUUAGGUUACUCUGUAUCUUUGUUUAUUUUCUGUCCCCCCAACAAGACGAAUGCAAGCAGGGCCAAUGUCUGUGAUCCUCCACAGUGAUUGCUACUCAAACAGUGAGUAUAANAAGAGACAGGACCUACCUUCAAUCACAGGGAGGAGCAGAAGUCCCUGGAAGUUGACAGGGAACAGGAGCUUCCUGGCCAGCCCACACCCUCCAGCUGUUACAGGAAGUGGGGAAUGAAUGGCUAUCUCAGUUGGGAUUGCAUUCAGGGCCUCAGGGAUGUCAGCAUUGCCUUUAACACAAGUGCCAUCAGGAAAGCUUGUCCCAGGGCUGACAUUUGAAUUGUGCCUUCAAGGAACAGUUGAACUUCUCCCGGGGAAAGGGGGAGAGUUGCAAAUCCCUGGGAAAGGCCGGAAGCUCCGUCAUGUGCCCAGAUUCCUGGCUCACACCACCCCUACCCAACACCACCAUUCAGACCCUGUGGAUCUGAACCCACAGGGCAGGAGCCAAGGAAGAGGAAAUUUUAUUUAGUGCCCCCAUCAUCCUCAUGACCAGCAAGUCUGCUAAAUGCUGGGCUGGACCCUCUGACUGUUGGUGGAAGAUACAGGAUCAGAGCUGGGAACACCAGAUUGAGCUAAAAGUAAAUAGCUUUGGAAUUUGACUGUAACACUGGUAACGUCACCUUAACAGCAAUGGGCUGCUUCUUUUCUUUGGGGAGACAGAUGACACAAAUUCUUUUAAAAUUUCAAUAAAAGGUAUAACCUUUUUUCCAGAAAGUGCUCCCCUGCCCCCACAUUUGAAUACAUUUCAAGGGUCCCAAUAAUCUGUUCUCUGGAGCUCAGGGGAAGGAACUCCAGGGCAGGGAUUUCAAUGGAGCAGGAUCUGCUCAGGUCAGAGGAGACCCUCAUGAAAGCAAGGGGACUGAAUGGGCCAACCAGGCUCCAGGGAGCAAGUUCAGGCGAAGGAGCCGCUCUCAAGAGAAGAUGGAAGCCCAGACUGGGUAGAGCUCAAGGCCGUGGAAGAGGUGGGUGGGGUACAGGGCAAGUGACCAAUGAAGGGGACAGAAUUCAAGGCUGAGGGAGGUGCCCUGCUCGCUCAGAGGUUUCAGGUUGUGUUUGGGGCGGGGUGUGUUCAGUUCUUAGAGUGGUGAGUUCAUAGCGGCAAGUGAAAGGACCUUGAGGAAUUCCGGUGCUAGUUCCUGGAAAGUCAGGGAAACCCAGGUGGGGUCGGAGCUUGUCGAGGUGCAGGGCAGUGGGUGGCAGGCCUCCUCCAGGGAGAGGCCGAAAAGAGACGGGAAGCAAGACCUGACAGAACCCACCUCAGAGGAGCCCUUGAAAGAGGACAACGGAAAAGAGAGACAGAGACAGCAGCACCAGGAGCAGAAGGUCAAGCCAAUGAGCCCAGAGAGGUCAUUGAAUUGGGCACCUCAGGGAAAUCUCUAAAAGAGUCUUUUCCUAACUCUGCAAUGCAUACCUUUGUU
rnacentral:lncRNA from 1 species